GUCAUUGCAUGGAAGCUACAAAUAGCAACUUUUUUAAAGCUAUAUUAAUAUAUAAAUUAUCUAAUCAAACACUUGUUUGAAUAAGUAUCUCAGCCUUACACUGAUCUUAAUUCUCUGCUACCCUAACAAGUCUGAACCGCUGACAAGUUGGCCUUCAAAACAUUUUAUUUCCAAAACUUUGAUGAUAAACUAAAUACUUUUUUUAUCUAAUCAGAUGGAGAAACCAGAUUAAACCAGUAGGCUAUAACAAAAAGUGUUUUAGAAAAACAUUGCAUACUGUCAGGUACAGACGCAGACCGAAAUGACCAGAAAUGAGGUCAACUUAAACAGGUUGGUUUAUUAGAUGUUUUAGCAGGAACACAAUUGAUAAACAGGUAAAUGACAAAUGUGGAGCUAAAUGGUGAGAGUAAAAAAAAUUGGAUAAAUUUCAGUCUUUGUCUUAUAGAGCCGGUUGAGCACACAAACAAACAAGUUGAGACAGAGGACACUUGGAAGACAGGUUGGAAUACCUGCAGGGUUUAAGAUAACUGACAUAAACUUGAACAAGGUAACUGGCGUAGCAAUUGUGGUCAACAGGAUGUAAGAGGUCUGUCGCAUCGAACAAGGCAAUGACUGGGGUGCUUUAAUGCUGGUGAUGAAGGUUGAUCAGCUUCGGGGGUGUGUUGUUAGUGCCAGGGUGCGAUGUGGAACAAACAAUGGUCUUCUCAAAGUCAUAAAAUAAAACUCAAGAAACGGAGUUCCAGAUGCCAAAAUUAGACUUUAUUGAACACAGUUUUUGUCUGUCCGGGCACCCAUAUUUCUACCUCUCUUUCUUACCAUAAUUGGUAGUUCCGUUUUUUUAUUGGCUAUGCCAAUGGCUAUGUCUGGUUUUCCACAAUUUAUUACUUGCCCAGCUGGUCCAUUUUUUAUUGGUGAAACUUGGCCUUAUCAACCAUUUUUAAGAAAACUUUCAUUUUGCCACCUACUACUGGUAGGCAGUGAUCCCAGAACACAUUCAUCAAAUCUGUCAACUUCUGGAACUCACCCAAAGUCAUAGUGUUACUUCAGUUAACAGGUGCAGUUCAAUGGAAAACUAGCAGUACUACCCAAUGGGAGGGCCUUUAUACAGCCAAAGAGUAUUUGGGAAUAAUUCAGCAUAUUGAUCAGUAUAUUGAUUACUUUCAUAGUCAUACAUAAUAGUUUAAACAAGAUAAUACCAUAUUGAGUAAUUAACAUUAUAUAUAUAAUAGAAUAACACAACAUAUUAAGAUGUGAGUAGGCUCUGGCGUAGCAGGCAUGACGUGAACAGGUGCUGGCUUGGCAGACAUGGUGUGAGUAGGCCUUGGCUUGGCUGGCGUGACGUGAACAACUCCUGACAUGACGGUUGGGACGUGGAAAAGUUCUGAUGUGGCGGGUACUGUGGGAUAGCUGUGUUCCUCAUCAGCAAUCCCCACAGUAAAUGAUGAACCAGCCAGGAAAAGAGCAUGGUCAAUAUAUUCCUCCAGGGACCAGUGAAUUUUUCCCCCAGGAAGCUGAGAGCAAAUGGGCUCAUUAAGACCCACCCGAAAUAUGUCCUUAAGGGCCACAUCAUUAAAAUCCACCAGAUGACACAAACCACAAAAGUCCUCCACAUAGUCCUCAAUGGCCUGGUUUCCUUGGCUAAGACGCAGGAGACGAACAACUGCUGGGUUCAUUUUUAGGGUCGUGUAUUCUGUCCACUGAAGGCAAGCGUAGCGAUGAACCCAAGUGCAGUUUUAUUCACAAUGGUACAAUCCAAAAUCCAAAUAUAAUCCAAACAGUAAACAAAGACUUGACUUGACUUGACUUGACUUGACUUGACUUGACUUGACUUGACUUGACUUGACUUGACUUGACUUGACUUACCGAUAGCAGGUUACAACGUUAAUACACGACAAGCGCUAAUGACAAAAACAUGACUACUUAUACAAACAAUGAGGGUCACAUGACAAGAGCAAACCAAUGGGAACAAGACACAUGACUAAAGCAACCAAUGAGAACAAACACAACUGAUAAUCACAUGACCAGACAAUAACCAAUGAGAACAUGACACAUACACAAAGCAGAGAUACAUGAGGGCAAGGGAAGCAUGACACAAACAGCAAAAUCAAACAAUAACAAAAUAAAAGACAUGAAAACAUGAACAUGAAACAAAACCCAAAACAGACAUUACAGUGAUCAGAAGUCUGGUGAGUGUGAGGGUCUGAUAGGUUACAGAAUGCCUGACUUGAAAGUCAAACUUAACCUACCUUCAGUAUGUGAUGUGUUUUCAGUACUAACUUGUGAAUUGAUUAUGUUAGUAGAUUCAUCUCUUUUCUCUGAUGCUAUUUGAAUGAAGCAGCAACCACAACCUGUCACACACAACAUUAAAGAGCAUCAAAACACUGUUUGAACUCCAUGAUAACCUCACACACUCCUUUGGUGUGUUCAUGGAUAUUUAUUUAUUUUAAGCAGAGAGAUGGGUACUAUGCAUUUCUUCUAAAAGAGACUUUGUGUGUUGAAAAGUUAUUUUACAGUUACAAACUAUUUUAUUUUCAAUAUUUGUGUUCAGGACAUGUGUUCUAUUCAUAUUUUCAGUUAGGUUUCAAGUAUAUUUUUUCACCUUUUACCACUGGGCAAUUACAGCACUUAAUUUUAGAAAUUGCCUAAUUUUACAAUUGCCUAAUUAUUUUAGGCAAAGGUGUUUCUGCUUAUGGUUUUUCCUUUUUAUUUUGAGACAUGUUAUUUAUUUAAUGUAAUUAAGUUGAUCAUUUUAAUUUGCAUUUUGAUAAAUUAGUAUGUAUUUUUUUUCUGCAAAUAUUAAGUGUUGCACUAUUCUUGUGCAACUCUUUGUUGUGUGCUGUACAUGCUAUAUAUUCAACAUUUUGAGAUUUGUUUUCUCCUUUACUUUUCUUCAUUUGUAAGAGAAAUAAUUAAUAAUAAAGUGUUUUAUAUGGAAAUACAUGUCUAUUAUUUGGUUGAACUUGCUAGUGUAUCUUACGAAUGUAUAAUUAUUUUAUGACCCCCUGUCAUAAUAUCCAUCAAUCAAAAUGUGAAUCAAUAACAUAAUUCUUACACGUAGGAGCUCUUGUCUUCGGUUCCAUCUCUCUUCUAUCCAGUUCCAUUGCUCUUCUAUCCAGUUCCAUCGCUCUUCUAUCCAGUUCCAUUGCUCUCUGACUGGACUGUAUGAUGAGAGAAUACAUUAAACUUUGUUUCUCAUGGACAUUUACAUUCAUUCAUUCAUUUAGAAAAGCAUGCUUCUAUUCCCUGAAUGUGGAUCUCUUAAUCUCAUCUCUUUAGCUUUUGAAACACAUCUUCAUUUGCACUUCAGGAUAACUAAAAUAUAAAAAUAUUUAAUUUUCUUAUGGCUUUAAUGUUCAAAACCUAUGAUCACACACCAACACACUGCAACAAAUAACAAGCCUUCAUCAGGGUGUUUUUUUUUUGUUGUUGUUUUUUUGGCCUUAUCUUCACUUGUUUAUCUUCAAAUUAAAUUUUUGGCUUCUCAAACUGUGCAUCAGAUUCUUAAGAUUCCAAAACACUCCAGUUGUUUUGUGAAAAAAGUUUAGCCUUAUGCAGUAUCAUUGCAUCAGUUUAAGUAAUUUGUCAGUGAUGUCUUACAUUUUUUUAACAUACAGCAUCCACUAUGAACAAAUGUAAUUUAAUAUUAAAACAACUGAAUUAAUUGUGAAUUACUUUUUAAGUUUAUAAGCUGCAUUAGUUGUUACAAA
ensembl:lncRNA